AGGACGAACGCUGGCGGCGUGCUUAACACAUGCAAGUCGAGCGGAAAGGCCCUUCGGGGUACUCGAGUGGCGAACGGGUGAGUAACACGUGAGUAACCUGCCCCUAGCUCUGGGAUAGCUCCGGGAAACCGGGAUUAAUACCAGAUACGACCACUUUAGACAUCUGUCGUGGUGGAAAGGAUUCCGGCUAGGGAUGGGCUCGCGGCCUAUCAGCUUGUUGGUGGGGUAACGGCCUACCAAGGCGACGACGGGUA
rnacentral:rRNA from 1 species